rnacentral:rRNA from 1 species
CAAACGGUUUUCGUAGGUGACCUGCGGAAGGUCAUUACCGAGUGAGGGCCCUCUGGGUCCAACCUCCCACCCGUGUCUAUCGUACCUUGUUGCUUCGGCGGGCCCGCCGUUUCGACGGCCGCCGGGGAGGCCUUGCGCCCCCGGGCCCGCGCCCGCCGAAGACCCCAACAUGAACGCUGUUCUGAAAGUAUGCAGUCUGAGUUGAUUAUCGUAAUCAGUUAAAACUUUCAACAACGGAUCUCUUGGUUCCGGCAUCGAUGAAGAACGCAGCGAAAUGCGAUAAGUAAUGUGAAUUGCAGAAUUCAGUGAAUCAUCGAGUCUUUGAACGCACAUUGCGCCCCCUGGUAUUCCGGGGGGCAUGCCUGUCCGAGCGUCAUUGCUGCCCUCAAGCACGGCUUGUGUGUUGGGCCCCCGUCCCCCUCUCCCGGGGGACGGGCCCGAAAGGCAGCGGCGGCACCGCGUCCGGUCCUCGAGCGUAUGGGGCUUUGUCACCUGCUCUGUAGGCCCGGCCGGCGCCAGCCGACACCCAACUUUAUUUUUCUAAGGUUGACCUCGGAUCAGGUAGGGAUACCCGCUGAACUUAAGCAUAUCAAUAAGGCCGGAGGAA